rfam:Triticum aestivum genome assembly, contig: Triticum_aestivum_CS42_TGACv1_scaffold_578569_7BL
UAACUACUCCCUCUGUCCCAAAUUUCUUGUCUUAGAUUUGUCUAGAUAGGGAUGUAUCUGUGACUUGAUACAUCCGUAUCUAGACAAAUCUAAGACAAGAAUUUUGGGAUGGAGGGAGUACUUU